GGGGUCUUGGCGCAGCGGUAGCGCGUAUGCUUUGCAUUCUACUAUUGUUAAUUGCAUAAGGUCGUGGGUUCAAGCCCCACAGGCUCCA